UUAGGUCAGCGGCGGACGGGUGAGUAACACGUGGGUAACCUGCCUGUAAGACUGGGAUAAUUCCGGGAAACCGGGGCUAAUACCGGAUGCUUGAUUGAACCGCAUGGUUCAAUCAUAAAAGGUGGCUUUUAGCUACCACUUACAGAUGGACCCGCGGCGCAUUAGCUAGUUGGUGAGGUAACGGCUCACCAAGGCGACGAUGCGUAGCCGACCUGAGAGGGUGAUCGGCCACACUGGGACUGAGACACGGCCCAGACUCCUACGGGAGGCAGCAGUAGGGAAUCUUCCGCAAUGGACGAAAGUCUGACGGAGCAACGCCGCGUGAGUGAUGAAGGUUUUCGGAUCGUAAAACUCUGUUGUUAGGGAAGAACAAGUACCGUUCGAAUAGGGCGGCACCUUGACGGUACCUAACCAGAAAGCCACGGCUAACUACGUGCCAGCAGCCGCGGUAAUACGUAGGUGGCAAGCGUUGUCCGGAAUUAUUGGGCGUAAAGCGCGCGCAGGCGGUUUCUUAAGUCUGAUGUGAAAGCCCCCGGCUCAACCGGGGAGGGUCAUUGGAAACUGGGGAACUUGAGUGCAGAAGAGGAGAGUGGAAUUCCACGUGUAGCGGUGAAAUGCGUAGAGAUGUGGAGGAACACCAGUGGCGAAGGCGACUCUCUGGUCUGUAACUGACGCUGAGGCGCGAAAGCGUGGGGAGCGAACAGGAUUAGAUACCCUGGUAGUCCACGCCGUAAACGAUGAGUGCUAAGUGUUAGAGGGUUUCCGCCCUUUAGUGCUGCAGCAAACGCAUUAAGCACUCCGCCUGGGGAGUACGGUCGCAAGACUGAAACUCAAAGGAAUUGACGGGGGCCCGCACAAGCGGUGGAGCAUGUGGUUUAAUUCGAAGCAACGCGAAGAACCUUACCAGGUCUUGACAUCCUCUGACAACCCUAGAGAUAGGGCUUCCCCUUCGGGGGCAGAGUGACAGGUGGUGCAUGGUUGUCGUCAGCUCGUGUCGUGAGAUGUUGGGUUAAGUCCCGCAACGAGCGCAACCCUUGAUCUUAGUUGCCAGCAUUCAGUUGGGCACUCUAAGGUGACUGCCGGUGACAAACCGGAGGAAGGUGGGGAUGACGUCAAAUCAUCAUGCCCCUUAUGACCUGGGCUACACACGUGCUACAAUGGGCAGAACAAAGGGCAGCGAAGCCGCGAGGCUAAGCCAAUCCCACAAAUCUGUUCUCAGUUCGGAUCGCAGUCUGCAACUCGACUGCGUGAAGCUGGAAUCGCUAGUAAUCGCGGAUCAGCAUG
rnacentral:rRNA from 1 species